CCACCAAGGUGCCAUUUGGCAAAGAACCUGCACCAGUGGAGACUGACAAUGGUGACCAGUAGGAGACUGUGGUUAUACUGGACGACUCCAUGUGGGGAAUAUGUGGAAUUGCAUGAGCGGCUUCCACUGUCUCUCUGAGAAGUUUUAGGGUGCCGAGUAGCUUGAUUUUACUGCCAACCAUCUCCUGAACACCUUAGCGGUCACUUUUCCACUGCUGUAAAAAUGAGGAACCUGAUCUUGGUUGCUGUGAUGCUUCAGCUGGCGAUCAUAAUAAUAGGGAUUAAUGGGG